UACGUAGGCAGCAAGCGUUGUUCGGAGUUACUGGGCGUAAAGAGUGCGUAGGCGGUUUCCUAAGUUUGAUGUGAAAGCUCAGGGCUUAACCCUGAAAUGGCAUUGAAUACUGUUGGGCUGGAGGUUUGGAGGGGGGACUGGAAUUCUUGGUGUAGCAGUGAAAUGCGUAGAUAUCAAGAGGAACACCAGUGGCGAAGGCGAGUCCCUGGACAACACCUGACACUGAGGCACGAAAGCUAGGGGAGCAAACAGG
rnacentral:rRNA from 1 species